rnacentral:rRNA from 1 species
GACGAACGCUGGCGGCGUGCUUAACACAUGCAAGUCGAACGAAGUGGCGAACGGGUGAGUAACGCGUAAUCAACCUGCCCUUCAGAGGGGGACAACAGUUGGAAACGACUGCUAAUACCGCAUACUGAAGGAGGGGAUUGCGUCUGAUUAGCUAGUUGGAGGGGUAACGGCCCACCACGGCGAUGAUCAGGAGCAGGGUGGAGAGGAUGAACGGCCACAUUGGGCAUGAGACACGGCCCAGACGCCUGCGGGAGGGAGCGGUGGGGAAGCUGCCGGAAUGGACGAAAGUCUGACGAGGCAACGCCGCGUGAGGGAUGACGGCCUUCGGGUUGUAAAGCUCUGAUAAUCGGGACGCGGUACCGGAAUAGAAAGCCACGGCGAACUACGUGCCAGCCGCCGCGGUAAUAC